UCUUAUUGGGGGAGGGUGAAGGGCCAGUAAUUGAAUCAAAUGGAUGAGAGAACUUUCCAGCAUGAUGGAAAUACUUUCCUUCUUCUUACAGCAGUGAUGAGACAAAGCUCAUCAAAUUACCCCGUUUCUUCAUCAGCUCUGUCCUGCUCCAGCAUCUUCAGGUGUGAUUCCUUACAGAACUCUCCAGCAAACCUCCUGCACAUAAAUCCCCACUUCAGAGUCUGCCUCCCAGAGAACUUGACCUAAGAUGCAAGACAGCCUUGAAGUUACAAAAGGUCACAUUUUCUCCGACUGACAAUGCACAGGCUUUGAGCACUCCAUUUAUGUCCUCACUGAAAUUGCCACAAUCAGUAAUGGUCACCCUUGGUCUUCUCAGGCUGCCAGCAGUAUUUCGAGAGAUGAACUUUCAACCAUCUGAACAAAGGAUCUGAGGCAUCGUGGAGAAUCAGACACAUGUUGGGGAUGUAUAUAGCUGCAAAGCAGAGCCUCCAAUCAGCAAGAGACAGGCUGAUAAAAUCUUGCCAAAAGUAAAUAAGCAAAUUUCAGUCAGCCUGCAUGAUCUUAUCAAAGGAAAAUACAUGGUUUGUGUUAAAGUCUUAGAAAAAAAUGAAAUAAGCUUAGAUCGUCUUAUUACUGUCUAAGCAGACUAUGAAGUUGGGAGGUGUUGGGACAAGUUAUUAUCAUGUUUCUGCUCCAGCAGUGAUUUCUGUUGUUCUCAGAUUGCUCUGCUCAGGCCAAAUUGGGCAAGAUAAACAAAUGGAGACUUGAAGAAGACACCACAGUGAUGAGAGAUGUAAAGAGCUGUAUUAGGGGCACCUGGGCGGCUAAGUCGGUUGAGCAUCCAACUUCGGCUCAGGUCAUGAUCUUGUGUUCGUGGGU